GAUGAACGCUGGCGGCGUGCCUAAUACAUGCAAGUCGAGCGAACAGAUGAGGAGCUUGCUCCUCUGACGUUAGCGGCGGACGGGUGAGUAACACGUGGAUAACCUACCUAUAAGACUGGGAUAACUUCGGGAAACCGGAGCUAAUACCGGAUAAUAUAUUGAACCGCUUGGUUCAAUAGUGAAAGACGGUUUUGCUGUCACUUAUAGAUGGAUCCGCGCCGCAUUAGCUAGUUGGUAAGGUAACGGCUUACCAAGGCAACGAUGCGUAGCCGACCUGAGAGGGUGAUCGGCCACACUGGAACUGAGACACGGUCCAGACUCCUACGGGAGGCAGCAGUAGGGAAUCUUCCGCAAUGGGCGAAAGCCUGACGGAGCAACGCCGCGUGAGUGAUGAAGGUCUUCGGAUCGUAAAACUCUGUUAUUAGGGAAGAACAAAUGUGUAAGUGACUAUGCACGUCUUGACGGUACCUAAUCAGAAAGCCACGGCUAACUACGUG
rnacentral:rRNA from 1 species